rnacentral:rRNA from 1 species
UACAGAGGAUGCAAGCGUUAUCCGGAAUGAUUGGGCGUAAAGCGUCUGUAGGUGGCUUUUUAAGUCCGCCGUCAAAUCCCUGGGCUCAACCCAGGGCCUGCAUCGGAAACUGUCGGGCUUGAGUAUGGGAGAGGUGAGUGGAAUUUCCGGUGUAGCGGUGAAAUGCGUAGAUAUCGGAAGGAACACCUGUGGCGAAAGCGGCUCACUGGACCAUUACUGACGCUGAGGCACGAAAGCUAGGGGAGCAAACAGG